GAACGCACAUUGCGCCCGCCAGUAUUCUGGCGGGCAUGCCUGUCCGAGCGUCAUUUCAACCCUCAGAGCCCACCGCUUGCGGUGCGGCGCUGGUGUUGGGGAUCGGCCCGCCUCGCGCGGCGCCGUCCCCCAAAUACAGUGGCGGUCUCGCUGCAGCCUCCCCUGCGUAGUAGCAACACUCGCAUGCGGAGCGCGGCGCGGCCACGCCGUAAAACCCCCGACUUUCUGAACGUUGACCUCGGAUCAGGUAGGAAUACCCGCUGAACUUA
rnacentral:misc_RNA from 1 species